UACGGGGGGAGCAAGCGUUGUUCGGAUUUACUGGGCGUAAAGGGCGCGUAGGCGGCGCAACAAGUCACUUGUGAAAUCUCCGGGCUUAACUCGGAACGGUCAAGUGAUACUGUUGUGCUAGAGUGCGGAAGGGGCAACUGGAAUUCUCGGUGUAGCGGUGAAAUGCGUAGAUAUCGAGAGGAACACCUGCGGCGAAGGCGGGUUGCUGGGCCGACACUGACGCUGAUGCGCGAAAGCCAGGGGAGC
rnacentral:rRNA from 1 species